rnacentral:rRNA from 1 species
UACGUAGGGUGCAAGCGUUGUCCGGAAUUAUUGGGCGUAAAGAGCUCGUAGGCGGUUUGUCGCGUCUGCUGUGAAAACUCGGGGCUUAACUCCGGGCCUGCAGUGGGUACGGGCAGACUAGAGUGCGGUAGGGGGAGACUGGAAUUCCUGGUGUAGCGGUGAAAUGCGCAGAUAUCAGGAGGAACACCGGUGGCGAAGGCGGGUCUCUGGGCCGAUACUGACGCUGAGGCGACGAAAGCGUGGGGAGCAACAGG